UAUCUAAUAAUGAUUUCCUAUAAUAAUAUCCUGAAUAUUGAUCAAUGAAAUACCUUUUAUCAAUAUCUACUCCGAAUACGCCUAUGAUUAUAUACAUAAAUUUAAAAAUUUAAACUAGAUGAUAAUUUAAUAUUUUUUAUAAUUUAAAUUAUAGUUUAUUAUAGUUGCUAUUGUUUUUCCUUAAAUAAUACAGAGUACAGACAGCGAAAAUUGUUUAUAGAAGUUUGAAGUAUUUGAACUGGCGAAUUAAAUCGCUACCCAAGGUAUACUUAAUAAAUAUAUCACAAAUGCGUAAAAAGUUAAUGGUAUUCUCGUUUGAAAAACAAAAAUUAUAUUGCCACUGUAUAUUAUCCUGAAAUUG